rnacentral:rRNA from 1 species
GACGUAGGGCGCGAGCGUUGUCCGGAUUUAUUGGGCGUAAAGAGCUCGUAGGCGGCUUGUCGCGUCGAAUGUGAAAACCCACGGCUCAACUGUGGGCUUGCAUUCGAUACGGGCAGGCUAGAGUUCGGUAGGGGAGACUGGAAUUCCUGGUGUAGCGGUGGAAAUGCGCAGAUAUCAGGAGGAACACCGGUGGCGAAGGCGGGUCUCUGGGCCGAUACUGACGUGAGGAGCGAAAAGCGUGGG